rnacentral:rRNA from 1 species
CCAAUAGCGUAUAUUAAAGUUGUUGCAGUUAAAAAGCUCGUAGUUGAAUUUCGGGAUCAAGGAAUCGGUCAUGCCUUGGUAUGUACUGGUUUUAUUGGAUCUCACCUUCUAAAGAACCAUAAUGUCAUUUAUUUGAUGUUAUGGGGAAUUAGGACUGUUACCUUGAAAAAAUUAGAGUGUUUAAAGCAGGCUCACGCUUGAAUACAUUAGCAUGGAAUAAUGAAAUAGGACGUUUGAUUCUAUUUUGUUGGUUUCUAGGAUCGACGUAAUGAUUAAUAGGGCUAGUUGGGGGCAUUAGUAUUCAAUUGUCAGAGGUGAAAUUCUUGGAUUUAUUGAAGACUAACUACUGCGAAAGCAUUUGCCAAGGAUGUUUUCAUUAAUCAAGAACGAAAGUUAGGGGAUCGAAGACGAUCAGAUACCGUCGUAGUCUUAACCAUAAACUAUGCCGACUAGGGAUCGGAUGAUGUUAAUUUUUUAAUGACUCAUUCGGCGCCUUACG